rnacentral:lncRNA from 10 species
AGGGCAAUAUCUUACUAGUUUCGACCCCUGCUGUGUGAUGAGGUUUUGACAGUCAUAAUUGUACAGCAGGCCAUAGUUUAAUAUAAGUAAUUAUAAACCAGGAAUUAUUAAUCAUUAUCUAAUAAUCUGAUACUAAACUAUUGGAUGUUGCUUGUGAAAUAACAAGAAAAUUCAAAGUGAUUAUAUCAAGUGAUUCUAUGAUACUUCUAGACAGCAAAAUAAAAAUAAAAGAAGAGGUUCAAGCCUUGUUAAGGUUUUAGCAUCACAAUCAGACAGCACCUAUAAAAUAAGUCAACUAUGCCAUGGUCCCAGUAGCCAGUAAAGUUCGUUGGGACCAACUUCCUUCCUCUUCAGCUCAUGCCUCUUGGAACACAUGGGGCAGCUGUGUGCACCUCAGAUGGAGCAGCCAAAAAGAGCUCAGAGCUUUGGUCCUGACUUUGCAGCCCAAGUGAGAUCAUGGGUUUUGUACUCCAGGCACUGUGCUAGGCACCAGGACUAUAAUACAACUUGUGAUCUGUAGAGGAGUCAGACAAUUAUCCAGGCAUCCCAAAGAAAUGUCAAUUGCAAACAAACACCACCCAACACGCCUCAUGUAUAUCAUUUUAAGCUACAGAAAUAUGGAAUCUUCAGUGAAGUUUACCUUUGGGGCCACUCCCACCUUAACCUGGCCUGGAUCCCUUUUUCCCUGGAGGCUGUUCUGAAGAUGGCACCCUACCUGCUCACCUUUUAGUGUACCUGGGCACCCAUGCCUCCAUAUGGUGACCCUCAAAUCAUACUGUAUGAAGAGCAGCUGUUUUGUCAACUAUUUUUUAAUGAGAUUUUUUUUGCUUUGGUUUAAAAAAUAGCAUAUAUUUGCGUUAGAAAAUUAGAAAUACAGAAGAAACAGAAAUAUAAAAGAAUUACCUAUAACAUGCAAAAAUGACUAGUACAAAUGUUUUUGUUUUUUUACAGUAUGUGAACAUAUUGUAUGUUUAUAUUAAUAUCCAUAGUAUUUAUUUUUGCCUACAUGUUUUACUUAACAUAUGUAGUAAGCAUUUCCCAUGUUAGUCAAAUUAUUUGUGGACAUUAUUUUUAAUGACUAUUAAUGUUAUUACUCUACAGCUUGCCGAAUAAGUCUCCUAUUAUAUGUCAUUUUGGGUCCUAGCAACAUUUUUGUGUUUAAAUCCUUGUAGCAGUUUUGACUGAUUUCCUUAAGAUAGAGUCCAAGAAGAGAAAUAAUUUGCUUGUUUGUUUAUCAUUUGGUACUUUCUUUUAUGGUAAUGUCCUUGGGGCUGAUAAUUCAGAACCAUGAAUAGAUAUGAUUCUUGUCUUUGAGGAGAUUGUAGCCUUGUGCUAGGUUAAAGAAUAGGCACGUUUUAAAGUUCUCGAUACACAUUUUCAAAGUGCUUUUCAAAAAUUUGUAUCAAUUCAUCCUUCUACUAUAAGGGAAAAUCUGUUCUGGGUUGUUUUUCUGGUAUAUCUUCCUAUUAAGAACCUGUUCUCCCUCCUGCUUUGUGACUCACAUGGAGUUGCCACUGCAUGCUAUCAUCUCCAUCCCUUAGAGCAACCUAUUAGAGAACUUACUCUCUGGAGUCCCAAAAGAGAAACAACAGCAACAACUCAGCAAUUCAUCUGGGGUCAGCGUGUUACCCAGUCUGGGCCAUUGGAGAUUUUUUUAAAGGGAAGUUUCUCCUAUUUUCUUCAAAAUUCUGAGCUGUGAAGAGGACCACUAGAAAGUUCAAUCUAUUUAUGAUUUUUUAAAAAACUGUUAUUAUAUAUAUUUAAGUGUAUGUCAUGUUUCCACACAUAUAUACAUAGUGAAAUGAUCACUGUAAUCAAGCUAAUUAGAAUAUCCCCCAUCUCGCAUAGUCACCUUUGUGUGUGAAAAGGGUUCAGUGCUUCCCUCUCCACUCUUCAUCUCCCCUUUAAAAAAGCAGAGAUGAAUGGAGAGGGAAAGGUUGAACAAUGGUUAUGUGGUGGGACUGCUGGGAUUCACCUGAGAGUUAAAACCAGCUAGUUCUACCCGUAUGUUUUUCACUUAGAUAAGCCAACAAAUUAAUUUCUUUUCCUCUAUUCUUCUUGUCUUCUUUCCUGCCUCUUUACCUGUCUCCCUUCCUUCCUCUCUUCCCACUCUCUUUCUUUCCUUAUUUAAAUUGGUUUGAAUUGAGUUUCUGACACUAAUGGAGAGUCCUUAUUGUGCCUUCACGUUAUUUUUAUCAAACCAGAAAAUGUUAAUGACAUAAAACAAUUACUGUUUGGACAAGGAAAAUUGUAUUUCUUUCCUUGAAAUUUCUACACACAUACACAUUUGUGCUUGUUAGUGAGGCUAAGCAUUUUCCCCCUUAUUUGUGAAUUAUAUAUUCAAUGUUUUGAUCCAUUUAUCAAAUAAAUUCCUUAGUUUAAAAAAUAUUUGCAGGUGCGGUUAUUAUGGAAAGCAGCAUGAAGUUUCCUCUAAAUAUUAAAAAUAGAAUCACCACAUGACUCAGCAAUCCCUCCUCUCUAUAUAUUUUUAAAGGAAAUGAAAUCAGCACUUCAUGGAACUAUCUCCACUCCCGGCUGGGCGCAGUGGCUCACGCCUGUAAUCCCAGCACUUUGGAAGGCCAAGGCAGGUGGAUCACGAGGUCAAGAGAUGGAGACCAUCCUGGCCGACAUGGUGAAACCCUGCCUCUACUAAAAAUACAAAAAUUAGCUGGGCGGGGAGGCACAUGCCUGUAAUCCCAGCCACUCGGGAGGCUGAGACAGGAGAAUCGCUUCAACCUGGGAGGCGGAGGUUGCAGUGGCUGAGAUCGCACCACUGCAGUCCAACCUGGUGACAGAGGGAGACUCCAUCAAAAAAAAAAAAAAGAAAAAAAGAAAUAUCUCCACUCUUAUAGUCAUUGAAGCAUAAUUAACAAUAACCAAGCUAUGAAAUCAAUGUAAGUGCCCAUCAAUGGAUGAGUGGAUAAAGAAAAUGUUACACACACACACACACACACACACACACACACACAGUGGAAUUUCAUGUAGCCUUAAAAAAGAAGACGAUUUUGUUAUUUAUAACAUGCCUGAAUGUGGAGGACAUUAGGUUAAGUGAAAUAAGCCAGAAAGAAAAAUACUGCAUGAUCUUACUUAUAUGUGGAAUCUAAAAACGUCAAGUACAAAAAAGCAAAAAGUAGAAUAGUGGUUGCUGGGAUCUGGGGCUGAGAUUAUGAUGGGCAAAUGGGAAGAAAUUGAGUGCAGAGUUUUGAUUAGGAUCAAUAAGUCUAGAGAGCAAAUGUACAGCAUGAAGACUAUAGUUACUACUGGGUUGUAUACUGGAAAUUUGCUAAGAAAGUAGGUUGUAGGUCCUCUUACCAUACACACAUAUACAGGUAACUAUGCGAGAUGAUGGAUAUUCUAAUUAGAUUGACUGUAGUAAUCAUUUCACUAUGUAUGUGUAUGAAAACAUGACAUACACCUUAAAUAUAUAUAAUAACAUUAAAAAAACCCAAAAUCUUGAAAAGAUUAUUAAGCUUUCCAAUGCCCAAGAAAAGGAAGAAAAGAAAAAGAAACUGCCACAGCUUAUUUUAAAAAUAAAAGUGGGCUCUCUUUUUAAAAUAUUAAUUUUAUAGUACCUUAUCUGGUAACCAAAAUAUUUUUAAAUAUUCUGAUGCUAUUAUAGUAUAAUCAUUCUUUAAUAAUUUUGUAGAUUUCACUUUACUGAACAAAGCCCUAAACAAAAACAUUGAAUAUGACAAAAACUUGCAUAAGUUUAUUUCAUACUGAAGACAUAUAUGCUAUAGAUUUGUAGAAAUACUUCCCACUUGGUUACUUGCUUAUGUUAUGAGUUUUUACCUACAGAAACUUGCUUUUUUUCUUGUAAAAUUUAGAUUAAUUUCUUUGGUAUGUUUUCCUACUGCUUUAAAACUUCAGAAUUCCUUUUUUCAUAGAACUUUUCUAUUUUCACUUAGAAACAUUCAGAACUUAUGUUAGUGUGUGAUUUGAGGUGGUUUUUGUGUUGACUUUGUUUCCUACCUUGUUAGCUAUUUUUUCUAUGCCAUUGUGGAAUAAUUUGUUAAUUUUCAGUGGAUUCAUAAUGCCUUUAAAAAAUAAGGUUGUGUUCUCAGAGGUGAUAAAUUUUAUUUAUUUAUGAUGCUCCAUCUAUGUUAAGGCUAUUUGUAAGUCUAUGUGUAUGGUAGGAUUUUAGUUCUACACUGCAUCUUACACAGGUUAGUAAAAUAUAGCACAUUUAUUAAUUAUUUAGAGUAUAGGAUUACGUAUUGAUAAGUACAAGCUAUUGAGCCUUCCCAUGUCCUAGGCACUUUGCUGAAUUUUAAUCCUUAUCACAACUCAAUGGGAUAGAUACUGUUGUCAUCUUUUGUAGACAUGGGUUUAUUAUAGCUAUUUUAAAAUGAGUUAGCAAAUUCAAAUUUCAAAAAUUCUAUUUUUAUUUCUAAUAUGGUAAAUAUUGAUAAAUAAAAUUUAUAUAAACAAAUAUUUUGAUGUACUCAGUAACCCAUAAGGGUAUAUAAGAGCCCUGAAAUGAAAAAGUUUGAGAACUGCUUAUAAGCCCUAUAUAAUUAUUAGGUAUUAAUAUCAUUAUUAAUUUUUGAAUCUAUAUUCAAAUAUAGUUAUCAUAAAAUGAACUUCAUAUAUGUAAGUGUAUACUUUGAUGUGUUUUGACAUAUGUAUAUUAUAAUGAAGCCAUCAUCAUAAUUAAGAUAAUAAACAUAUCCAUCACUCUCAGAG